rnacentral:rRNA from 1 species
GUACACUCCUGCGGGAGGCAGCAGUGAGGAAUAUUGGACAAUGGGUGGAAGCCUGAUCCAGCCAUCCCGCGUGCAGGAAGACGGCCCUAUGGGUUGUAAACUGCUUUUAUCUGGGGAUAAACCUACUUACGUGUAAGUAGCUGAAGGUACCAGAAGAAUAAGCACCGGCUAACUCCGUGCCAGCAGCCGCGGUAAUACGGAGGGUGCAAGCGUUAUCCGGAUUUAUUGGGUUUAAAGGGUCCGUAGGCGGACUGAUAAGUCAGUGGUGAAAUCCGACAGCUUAACUGUCGAACUGCCAUUGAUACUGUUAGUCUUGAGUAAGGUUGAAGUGGCUGGAAUAAGUAGUGUAGCGGUGAAAUGCAUAGAUAUUACUUAGAACACCAAUUGCGAAGGCAGGUCACUAAGUCUUAACUGACGCUGAUGGACGAAAGCGUGGGGAGCGAACAGGAUUAGAAACCCCGGUAGUCCCAUGA